CCUGAGAUCAUGACCUGAGCCAAAGGCAGACGCUUAACAGACUGAGCCACCCAGGCACCCCGAUAUCAGGAUACUUGACCUUUUCUGAGAUUUGUGGCUUGUGAUUUUAUUUUCUCCUUCCACAUAUUCACUUUCAUACCUAAUUUUGUAUUCUUUUUCUUAAAGAGGGACUCCCAGCAUUGUUUAAGGUUUAUGCCCCACAAGACUUGGAUCUGCCCCUUGGCUAAAGGCUCACAGGUUCAGGUAAACAUUUUUGGUAAGAAUCCUUCAUAGUUUUACAUCACAUCACUGCUUCUGUAAAGCUGGGUGUCUCACAUUUAGUGAUGAUGAAUAAUUUAGGGUGGUGACGGCCGGACCUGUCCAGUGUAAAGAUCCAUUUUUCCCAUUGGAGUUAGUAAGCAAACAGUGAAGUAGUAUGUUGUCUCUGUGUAACUAUUCUGUCUCCCAACUUUUCAGGGAAUGGCUUUAACGUCCAUUGAUGAACCUUUCCUGAAUCUGUUCUUCCACCGGGAGUUGCAAAAAUGCUAAUUUUAUGAUUGUUUCAUGAAUUUUGCCAUUAUUGGCUGGAAUUCUUCUAUGAAGAAAACCUUCCCUAAUAAAUUUCACAGGUGAUAUUAAUGUCAACCCACCAGUUUAGAAGCAUUGACCCAGGCCAACAGACCCAUUUACAGGAGUCAUAGCCGUGGAAGUUUUUCCCCGUGAUUUCAUUAUUUGCUGCAGAUAAAGUGUCCUUUGUGUGAUGACUCCACCCGACGUGGUCCCUACAUGUGACUCACCAAGGAACCAACUCAUCUCAAAUAAUGGCGGAGAAGAGAACAGAUCCCCAGUAGAGAAAGGAAGAAAGAAUGUAUCAGGAACCGAAGAUGGAGUGGUGACUGUAAGUCUGCCCUAAAUUUCUGUUUUAUUAAGUAAUGGCAGGGCACCUGGGUGGCUCAGUAGGUUAAACGUCUGCCUUCU